rnacentral:rRNA from 1 species
GACGAACGCUGGCGGCGUGCUUAACACAUGCAAGUCGAACGAUGAAGCUGGAGCUUGCUCUAGCGGAUUAGUGGCGAACGGGUGAGUAACACGUGAGCAAUCUGCCCUUGACUCUGGGAUAACUGCGGGAAACUGUAGCUAAUACCGGAUACGAGACUUAGCGGCAUCUCUGAGUCUGGAAAGAAUUUCGGUCAAGGAUGAGCUCGCGGCCUAUCAGCUAGUUGGUGAGGUAAUGGCACACCAAGGCGAAGACGGGUAGCCGGCCUGAGAGGGUGACCGGGCACACUGGGACUGAGACACGGCCCAGACUCGUACGGGAGGCAGGAGUGGGGAAGAUUGCACACUGGGCGAAAGCCUGAUGCAGCAACGCCGCGUGAGGGAUGAAGGCAUUCGGGUUGUAAACCUCUUUUAGCAGGGAAGAAGCGAAAGUGACGGUACCUGCAGAAAAAGCACCGGCUAACUACGUGCCAGCAGCCGCUGUAA